GACGAACGCUGGCGGCGUGCCUAACACAUGCAAGUCGAACGGGGUUACCCUUCGGGGUAACUUAGUGGCGAACGGGUGAGUAACGCGUGAGGAACCUGCCUUUCAGUGGGGGACAACAGUUGGAAACGACUGCUAAUACCGCAUAAUGUUGUCGGAUGGCAUCAUCUGACAACCAAAGCUUUAUGUGCUGAAAGAUGGCCUCGCGUCUGAUUAGCUAGAUGGCGGGGUAACGGCCCACCAUGGCGACGAUCAGUAGCCGGUCUGAGAGGAUGAACGGCCACAUUGGGACUGAGAUACGGCCCAGACUCCUACGGGAGGCAGCAGUGGGGAAUAUUGGGCAAUGGGGGAAACCCUGACCCAGCAACGCCGCGUGAAGGAAGAAGGGCCUUCGGGUUGUAAACUUCUUUUAGUAGGGUACGAAGAACGUGACGGUA
rnacentral:rRNA from 1 species